ensembl:snRNA Gm23379 predicted gene, 23379
GUGCUCACUUCGGCAGCACAUACACUAAAAUUGGAAUGAUACAGAGAAAAUUAGCAUGGCCCCUGCUCAAGGAUGACACACAAAUUCGUGAAGCAUUCCAUAUUUUU